CAGCCGCCGCGGGAAUACGUAGGGUGCAAGCGUUAAUCGGAAUUACUGGGCGUAAAGCGUGCGCAGGCGGUUAUAUAAGACAGAUGUGAAAUCCCCGGGCUCAACCUGGGAACUGCAUUGGUGACUGCAACGCUGGAGUGCGGCAGAGGGGGAUGGAAUUCCGCGUGUAGCAGUGAAAUGCGUAGAUAUGCGGAGGAACACCGAUGGCGAAGGCAAUCCCCUGGGCCUGCACUGACGCUCAUGCACGAAAGCGUGGGGAGCAAACAGGAUUAGAUACCCCUGUAGUCCCUGUCUCUUAUAC
rnacentral:rRNA from 1 species